CCUACGGGAGACAGCAGUGGGGAAUAUUGGGCAAUGGGCGCAAGCCUGACCCAGCAACGCCGCGUGAAGGAAGACGGCUCUAGGGUUGUAAACUUCCUUUAAGAGAGAAGAGCAGUAGACGGUACCUGUUGAAUAAGCUAUGGUUAACUACGUGCCAGCAGCCGCGGUAAUACGUAGGUGGCCAGCGUUGUCCGGAUUUACUGGGUGUAACGGGCGUGCAGCCGGGAAGACAAGUCAGAUGUGAAAGUCCGCGGCUCAACCGCAGAACUGCAUUUGAAACUGUUUUUCUUGAGUACCGGGGAGGUCAUCGGAAUUCGUUGUGUAGCGGUGAAAUGCGUAGAUAUAAGGAAGAACACCAAUGGCGAAGGCGGAUGACUAAACUGCAACUGACGGUGAGGCGCGAAAGCGUGGGGAGCAAACAGGAUUAGAUACCCGGGUAGUC
rnacentral:rRNA from 1 species